GGCAAGCCCAGCGCCGACGUCUCCGGCAUCCACAUCCCGCACAUCAGCCUCAACCGCGCCGACCUCGUCGUCGACGUGCUCAUCAAGAACCCCAACCCCGUCCCCAUCCCGCUCGUCGACAUAGACUACCUCAUCGACAGCGACGGCCGCAAGCUCGUCUCCGGCCUCAUCCCCGACGCCGGCACCAUCCACGCCCACGGCCAGGAGACCGUCAAGAUCCCCAUCUCCCUCGUCUUCGACGACAUCAAGAGCACCUACAAGGACAUCCAGCCCGGCAGCAUCAUCCCCUACCUCGUCCGCGUCGUCCUCCUCGUCGACGUCCCCAUCAUCGGACGCAUCAAGAUCCCGCUCGAGAAGUCCGGCGAGAUCCCCGUCCCAUACAAGCCCGACGUCGACGUCGAGAAGAUCAAGUUCCACCACUUCUCCUUCGAGGAGACCACCGCCACGCUGCACCUCAAGCUCGAGAACAAGAACGACUUCGACCUGGGGCUCAACCUGCUCGAGU
rnacentral:lncRNA from 1 species